ACGUACACUCCUACGGGAGGCAGCAGUGGGGAAUAUUGCACAAUGGGCGCAAGCCUGAUGCAGCCAUGCCGCGUGUAUGAAGAAGGCCUUCGGGUUGUAAAGUACUUUCAGCGGGGAGGAAGGCAAUACGGUUAAUAACCGUGUUGAUUGACGUUACCCGCAGAAGAAGCACCGGCUAACUCCGUGCCAGCAGCCGCGGUAAUACGGAGGGUGCAAGCGUUAAUCGGAAUUACUGGGCGUAAAGCGCACGCAGGCGGUCUGUUAAGUCGGAUGUGAAAUCCCCGGGCUCAACCUGGGAACUGCAUUCGAAACUGGCAGGCUUGAGUCUUGUAGAGGGGGGUAGAAUUCCAGGUGUAGCGGUGAAAUGCGUAGAGAUCUGGAGGAAUACCGGUGGCGAAGGCGGCCCCCUGGACAAAGACUGACGCUCAGGUGCGAAAGCGUGGGGAGCAAACAGGAUUAGAAACCCUAGUAGUCCCAUGA
rnacentral:rRNA from 1 species